rnacentral:rRNA from 1 species
UGGGGAAUAUUGGACAAUGGGGGGAACCCUGAUCCAGCCAUGCCGCGUGUGUGAAGAAGGCCUUAUGGUUGUAAAGCACUUUAAGCGAGGAGGAGGGUACUGGUAUUAAUACUACCAGGUACUGGACGUUACUCGCAGAAUAAGCACCGGCUAACUCUGUGCCAGCAGCCGCGGUAAUACAGAGGGUGCGAGCGUUAAUCGGAUUUACUGGGCGUAAAGCGUGCGUAGGCGGCUAAUUGAGUCGGAUGUGAAAUCCCCGAGCUUAACUUGGGAAGUGCAUUCGAUACUGGUUAGCUAGAGUGUGGGAGAGGAUGGUAGAAUUCCAGGUGUAGCGGUGAAAUGCGUAGAGAUCUGGAGGAAUACCGAUGGCGAAGGCAGCCAUCUGGCCUAACACUGACGCUGAGGUACGAAAGCAUGGGGAGCAAACAGG